CUGAAGAUCAGUACAAAAAUCCUAGGAGAAAUCUAAGCCACAUCAGAGUUGAUUCUGGACACAAACCACAUGAGUAUCAGGAAUAUGGAGAGAAGCCACAUACACAUAAACAACGUGGGAAAGCCUUCAGUUACCAUCACUCCUUUCAGUCGUGUGGAAGGCCUCACACUGGAAAGAAACGCUAUGAGUGUAAGGAAUGUGGAAAAACCUUCAGUUCUCGUAGAAACCUUCGAAGACACAUGGUAGUGCAAGGUGGAAAUAGACCUUAUAAAUUUCCUAUCGAAGACAUGAGAGAAUGCACACUGGGGAGAAACCGUAUGAAUGUAAGCAGUGUUCUAAAGCCUUGCCUGAUUCCAGUUCCUAUAUAAGACAUGAAAGAACUCACACUGGAGAGAAACCAUAUACAUGUAAACAGUGUGGGAAAGCCUUCAGUGUUUCCAGUUCCCUUCGAAGACAUGAAACCACUCACAGUGCAGAGAAACCCUAUGAGUGUAAGCAAUGCGGGAAAACAUUUCAUCAUCUUGGAAGCUUUCAGAUACACAUGAAAAGGCACACUGGAGAUCGACCUCAUAAAUGUAAGAUAUGUGGGAAAGGCUUUGAUCGUCCCAGUUUAGUUCGAUAUCAUGAACGAAUUCACACUGGAGAGAAACCCUAUGAAUGCAAGCAGUGUGGGAAAACGUUAUCUCAUAGCUCAAGCUUUCGAAGACACAUGAUAAUGCACACUGGAGGUGGACCUCAUAAAUGCAAGAUAUGUGGGAAAGCUUUUGUUUAUCCUAGUGUAUGUCAAAGACACGAAAAGUCUCACAGUGGAGAGAAACCCUAUGAAUGCAAGCAGUGUGGGAAAGCGUUAUCUCAUAGCUCAAGCUUUCGAAGACAUAUGGUAAUGCAUACGGGAGAUGGGCCGAAUAAAUGCAAGGUAUGUGGGAAAGCCUUUGUUUAUCCUAGUGUAUGUCAAAGACAUGAAAAGACUCACUGGAGAGAAACAAUAUGAAUGUAAACUAUUAUAAAGCCUUCUAUAUUUCCAGUUCCCUUUGAUAUCAUGAAUAAACUUACACUGGAC
rnacentral:lncRNA from 1 species